rnacentral:lncRNA from 1 species
AAGCGGUCAAAAAAUAUAUCAUCUCCUAACAAUGACAAUCAGUUUUCUGAAUUAGGGCUCAGAGGCAAAAACAAUAAGUUCGAGGAUUAUUGCACCCUACCUGUGCUCCUGCAAAAUUUGUCGUAUUUACACAUCGAAGAUUUUUUUGCAUCAUUGAGUAUUUGUCUGGCGCGCCAUUGUUCCUACGCUUUAGCUUUCUCUUUCUGCGAUUAAUUUUAAAAAAAAAAUAAAGCUCGUGAAUUUGUUGAUAAAUGAUUCACAUAUCUAAUCCAGCUUCAAGUACCUGACAGAUGAAGAACGAAUGAGAUUGAAGUAUCUCAUCUCAACGCAGAAAUUAGGGUUCGUCCGACAAGUUGUGUCGAAGAAGAAGAGAGCAAAGAGUUUGCUUUGAAAAAAAAAUACUACUAUGAUUGGUUUUAGCGGUUUCAAUGCGGUCGGGUCGGGUUCGGGUUCGAUGUCAAUGCGCUCGUGCCAUCGUUGCUCACCGGUGACGCCUCUGCCGCCUGGAUUUGUGUUGCCGGCUGAGUUCGCGCCGCCGUCUAGUAUCUUUUCCUCUUUCAGGUUCCAUCAGAAAGUGAUGGUAGAACUUAGGAGGAGAUGCAGACUGCAUAAAUGGAGGAAAGCGGGAGAAGGGUUGCGAUAGAGAGAGUGUGUGAUUUGGGGCUGGAUUUGGGGCUGGGGUGACGGCGGGUGGAUAGAUAGGUAGGGUUUUAUCUUUUAAUUUGAGAGAAAAUCCAUAAUAGUAUGAGGAUA